AUGUUGUGUAUAUUAGGCAAACGCUGCUGAACCACUGAGCUGCAUUCCCCAACAGUUUGGUUAUUUCAAAUCAUCACUGCUUCAUGGAAAGGGUUAUUCAAAAGUCAUCAAAGGAAAGACAAAGAUUUCUGAGGGAAGAAGCAAAGGAAGCUUCAACCACAGGAUGCACAACCCGGAAGGCCGCUGACUCUAUGGCAUUGUUCAGACACUCAGCUACCCCCCUGCUUCCCUCUUGAGCUUUUUCCAAGUCGAAACUCAGUGAAGAUUCGGACAGAAAGAUGUAAACCACAAUAGAGGGAAAACUUUCUAAGUCGAAUCUCUUUGGGGACUAGUCAGCUUCAUUCUGGUUUAAAAAGUGGAACUUCCCUUGAAUUUGAAAACAACCUCACUUCUUAUCUGACGUUUCAUGAAAAUUAUGUUUUUGAAUCCCUCUAGAUGGAGCCUUCUAUCACGAUGGACUCACACAGAAAGAGUCCGUGUAUCUAAGUGGAAAACACUGUCCUAGAUACACUUUGGAGAAAUCAUCUUCAAUAGCAAUGAAAUCCCUCAGCCAAUCAAAAGCUUAUCGAGCUAAGCUACAGAGGCUGCUUCUCCCUCCUUGCAGAAUUGAGGCAGCUUGGACUGUUUGUACAAAUCCCCUGCGACUUUUGGGCCUGCUUUUGGUUGGUGAUGACUCAUUGAACAGAAAGGCAUCUUUCACUGCUGAAGAGAAGAAGACAUGUUUAAACAGAACGUUCUUAAUCCCUCUUAGACAGGAGGCUGCCUGGAUGACAGUCCAGUCCUUGUUAUGCUGUGCGUUCAUGCAGGUAACUACUGUCUACCUUUCUUCAUCAUCUUAUGAAAUAUCAGGCUGUUUGUUUUCCAAGAACGCAUGUGGGUAUGCUAAAGCUCCUGGACUAUACACUGGACACACACUGUUCUUCCUAAGAACAAGCCUAGAAACUGUCCCUCUGUGGGAUAAUUUUCAUACUUACGUGACUUAGCUGUUCCAUUUACAUUGCCUGGCUUUCCAAGGAAUAAUGAAGGCAAUUUAUAAUUAUAAUCAACUUUACUGUGAAAGUCCUUUGGCAUACUUCGUCAGUUAUUUGAAUGAUGUACAUACACAAUUGGAGUGGAUAAAGCAACUGAAUUUUCAGAGCCAUCAUUAGCACAUAUUCAUUUUAGGCUACCUUGGUCAUAAAUGGACUUCCUCUGAUGUCCAUUUGAUAGCCUAGCUUAAGAUCACUAACCUGGAUUACAAGUGAAUAAUUCCCGUUUAAAGUGUAGCUGCUAAGGGCAAGAUCUGGUACUGGCAUGCUACCUCCUACCAAUUAAUAAUUGUUAAUGCUGCCAGGAAGGGGCCGGAGGUGCCAGAGCUGGAGAUGAACUUUAAGACAAAGAGAAUCACAGAAAUCAAGUACAAUGGGGAUUCUAAAGGUGUGGAUGGAUUUUCUGCCGUUGGGAGCAUGGCAUCAUUCUCUUUUCAUAAACAACCUAGGAUUUAAUGUUUACAUGUAUACGUUUAAAAGAUAUGAGACAAUUCUUAGAUUUUUAAAAUAAAAAAAUAAAAGCA